AAACCAGCACCUCAAGUGGUCAGGAUGAUUAUUGGGCCUAAAGCAUCCGUAGCCGGCUCUGUAAGUUUUCGGUUAAAUCUGUACGCUUAACGUACAGGCUGCUGGGAAUACUGCAGAGCUAGGGAGUGGGAGAGGUAGACGGUACUCGGGAGGAAGUGGUAAAAUGCUUUGAUCUCUCGAUGACCACCUGUGGCGAAGGCGGUCUACCAGAACACGACCGACGGUGAGGGAUGAAAGCUGGGGGAGCAAACCGGAUUAGAAACCCCAGUAGUCC
rnacentral:rRNA from 1 species